AUGUCUUCCUGAGACUAUAUAUUUUACAGGCUUUGUUAUCUGCACCUGAUAGAAUAUUCAAAAAAUAGAAAACAAAAAUAGAGCUAUUUAAAAGAUACUAUUUUAAAAUAAAAAUACACUAAUUGCUCUCAGAAGCAGCAUAUAAUUCAAUAGAAAGUACAUUAUAUUUAGAUUUUUUUAAGUUGAUUUUUAGAGAGAGAGGGAGACACAGAGAGAGAAACAGAUAUGUGAUUGGCUGCCUCCUGCACAUCCCUAUCAGAGAUCCAGCCCUCAACCUGGGCACAUGGCCUCAUGGGAAUGGAACCAGCCGCCUUUUGGUGCAUGGGAGAAUGCCCAACCAACUGAGCUACCCUAGCCAGGGUAUACUUAGAUAUUAUUGACCUAAGCCUACGAUGAUGUGAACAAGUUUAUCUCAAAGAUAUUUGAAGGUCUCAUUGUCUCUAAUUGAACCUGCUCACCUUUUUGGAGGAAAGAAAAGAACCCUGGAAUGUGAAAGGACAGGAGACAUCUACCCAGUGAUUCUGAGUGGCCAGUCCCUCAUGUCUAGUCUGCUCUGUCAUCAGCAUUUCUGAAGGUGUGGGCAAAACAAGGCAGAAAUGGGAGAGGCUGUGAAAAACCCUGGAAGGAACAGAACACAGUCAGACUAUGUUCUCGGCUCCCUGAACUCUGGUCUCAGCCAUGUUUAUCUGUUAGAGGCAUGCAUCUCCUAAAUUCUAAAGGACCCCACAAGACUUUCAAGGAGGGGAGCAACAAGCAGCCACAACUCAUCCCAGGCUAACCUUUUGAACCAGUCCGUAAGGCCCUCUUUUCUCUCACUUCUCAGUGAGCCAAAGCAGCCCAGC